UGGGGGUGAGCUUUUAAGAGUGGCUGGCAGAGGGCCUGGAGACAGCAAUGCAAAGCCAGAGCCUGAGCUUCUUUAAAGGCUGCCUCGGCCGGCGCGCCCCCGCCCCCGCACUCACCUGGCCUGUGAUACCGGUGAUGAGCGCCACGUUCCUGGGCUUGCCCAUCUCGUGUUGUAUUAUAGGUGUAAGCCACUACUCGCCCCUGUGUAUGUAUUUUUAUGUAAAAUGUAAUAAAAUGUUUUUUCUCAACUGGUAAGAGGUAUAAUUAAAGAUUUCCCUAAUGCUUGUAAUCUCAGCACUUA
rnacentral:lncRNA from 1 species